UGACAGACUGAAUGGCGAAUGACUUUUAAGGUUAUAAACUAGUAACCUAAAAAUCUGCUGGUGCAGAAAACUCGUGGUUUCUCGCCUUAAAAAUGACCGAAAAUUCUACAAAUUCAAUGGAAACUCUACCAGAUGCAACCAGUGAACGAAUAGAGAGCAAUUUGGGCCAAUCAGAACGCUUGUCCGCGGAAGCCCUAAACAGCCCCAUAUCGACAGAGCACGGUGAUGAAAAGUUCAAUGGGGUGGAGAUAUCAAAACUGACUAAACGGCAGUUGAAAAAGUACCACAAGUACAUGCAAUGGCAGAAGGCGAAGAAAGAAAAACGCAGCAAGGAGAAGCAGAAGAGCAAAGAGAAACGCAAACAUGCCAAGCUCAACAACAUCGAUCUGGGCCCCAGCCGGAAGGAGCUGAAAAGGAAGACGAUGGAAGCUAGUCCUUGUCAAACUGCAGUGUGCAUUGACUUGAGCUUCGAGGAUUUAAUGAUUGACAAGGAUAUGGCCAAGACAGUAAAGCAAAUUUUACGGGUGUAUACUGAAAACCGGAGGGCGUCCGCUCCCAUGCAACUUCACCUAAGCAGCUUUAAGGGGCGCAGCAAGGAAGAAAUGGAAAGGCACAAUGGAUACCAGCAUUGGGACAUUCACUUUCACGAGAGCCACUAUUUGGACAUUUUCCCUAGGGACAAGCUAGUUUAUUUAACAAGCGACAGCGACAACGUUAUACACAAUCUGGAAGACGACAAAGUUUAUAUAAUUGGCGGUUUAGUGGACCAUAAUGGGCAUAAAAUGGACUUUUUAAGGGCAUCUGCUACAAUAAAGCUGUAGAAGAGGGCAUAGCACAUGGCCAGCUUCCAAUUGGAGAAUAUUUCUGGAUGAAACAACGAAAGGUCUUAACAAUAAAUCAAGUCUUCGAGAUCCUAAUCAGAGUCAGUGAAGGCAAAACGUUCAAAGAGGCAUUUGAACUGAUUCUUCCCAGAAGAAAAGAAAUAGUGUCUCUCACCAAAACACCCGAGAAAACAAAGUGUGAUUGAAGUGAUCAAGUUAAGAGAAACACUAGGAAAUAUUUGAUAUGAUUAUAUUAAGAAACGGGCCGUUUUCAAAAUAUACAUUUUACUUAA
rnacentral:misc_RNA from 1 species